rnacentral:tRNA from 1 species
GCCUUCGUGGUGUAGUGGUUAGUAAAAUCGGUGCGUAUUCGAGAUAUCCGUGGUUCGAGUCCCGGCGAGGGCA